rnacentral:tRNA from 1 species
GACAUUGUAGUGUAGUGGUUACAUUGUAGCACUACUGCUGCUAUGGUCAAUGGUUCGAAUCCAGUGGAUGUAG